AUGCAAGUCGAGCGCGCCCUUCGGGGUGAGCGGCGGACGGGUGAGUAACGCGUGGGAAUAUGCCCUUCUCUAAGGAAUAGCCUCUGGAAACGGAGAGUAAUACCUUAUACGCCCUUUGGGGGAAAGAUUUAUCGGAGAAGGAUUAGCCCGCGUUAGAUUAGGUAGUUGGUGGGGUAAUGGCCUACCAAGCCUACGAUCUAUAGCUGGUUUGAGAGGAUGAUCAGCCACACUGGGACUGAGACACGGCCCAGACUCCUACGGGAGGCAGCAGUAGGGAAUCUUAGACAAUGGGGGCAACCCUGAUCUAGCCAUGCCGCGUGUGUGAUGAAGGCCCUAGGGUCGUAAAGCACUUUCGCCAGAGAUGAUAAUGACAGUAUCUGGUAAAGAAACCCCGGCUAACUCCGUGCCAGCAGCCGCGGUAAUACGGAGGGGGUUAGCGUUGUUCGGAAUUACUGGGCGUAAAGCGCACGUAGGCGGAUUAGUAAGUUAGAGGUGAAAUCCCAGGGCUCAACCCUGGAACUGCCUUUAAUACUGCUAGUCUUGAGUUCGAGAGAGGUAAGUGGAAUUCCGAGUGUAGAGGUGAAAUUCGUAGAUAUUCGGAGGAACACCAGUGGCGAAGGCGGCUUACUGGCUCGAUACUGACGCUGAGGUGCGAAAGUGUGGGGAGCAAACAGGAUUAGAUACCCUGGUAGUCCACACCGUAAACGAUGAAUGCCAGACGUCAGCAAGUAUACUUGUUGGUGUCACACCUAACGGAUUAAGC
rnacentral:rRNA from 1 species